GACAGAGGGUGCAAACGUUGUUCGGAAUCACUGGGCGUAAAGCGCGUGUAGGCGGCAAUGCAAGUCGGAUGUGAAAUCCCGCGGCUCAACGCCGGGUCGGCCGUGGAUACUCUCGGGCUUGAGCUUACUAGAGGCAGAUGGAAUUCCGGGUGUAGCGGUGGAAUGGCGCAGAUAUCAGGGAGGAACACCGGUGGCGAAGGCGGUUCUCUGGGGCAUUACCUGAC
rnacentral:rRNA from 1 species